UACGGAGGAUCCAAGCGUUAUCCGGAAUCAUUGGGUUUAAAGGGUCCGUAGGCGGUUUUGUAAGUCAGUGGUGAAAGCCCAUCGCUCAACGGUGGAACGGCCAUUGAUACUGCAAGACUUGAAUUAUUAGGAAGUAACUAGAAUAUGUAGUGUAGCGGUGAAAUGCUUAGAGAUUACAUGGAAUACCAAUUGCGAAGGCAGGUUACUACUAAUUGAUUUGACGCUGAUGGACGAAAGCGUGGGGAGCGAACAGG
rnacentral:rRNA from 1 species